UAGACCACAGCUGAGACUUUGAGAGAAAAGGCGCUUUGGGCAAGUGCAAAGUGGUAUUGUCGUGUUGCUACUGGAGCUGACUGUGAGAGCCAAGAAAAUAGGACAGAGUAAAAAGGAAGUCAAAUAAGUCCUAGUGAAACCUUCUCCCUCGGAGGAAGGAGAGCAAACACUGAAAUAUUGCUUUUUCCUGGCUGCUUAUUAAAGGGGAAAUUUGCCUACCGCGCUGGAAGAGGCUUUUAUUCCUCGUUCUGUUGAUGUGAAGCAGGCAGCCUGAGGAAGAUCCUCCUCUGCUGACUCGGCCGAGCAAUCCCGGGAAAGCAUCUUGAAGAGGCCGCUCAGAAGCCUUGAAUCUACAAGGCUUGCUCAGGACAUGGAGUUCAUCUGCCGAUCUGAUCUGCGGAGUCACCUUCUGCCAAUACAUCAAUCUCUUCCUGGCAGAUGGACUGUGAGAGGCUGACCCCUCACAGGGGCUGACAAUAUGGUUCAGUCCUCAUCCUUCAUUCAGGGAUGACGCGGAUGAAGGGGAGGACAGGCCACGUGACAGACAUCUCAGCACCACGCUGGAGGCUUUCUAGGGUUAGGUCCCUGGCUGUUUUUCUCUUUCCCACUGCCUGUUAACCCCUGGAACUUCCUCCUGCUUAUCUGCUAUGACUUCUUACCUCUUUGUUCUAAGUGACAUUUUUUUGGAUGUAUAUGUGAUAGCAUCUUACUAGAUAGCUGAGGCUAGCCUCAUAUCUGAUCGUACUGUCUCAGCCCUUCCUAACAGUUCAAACAUCUGCUACCAUGCUUCUUCAGUGUGAUUUUUUUUUAAUCUGGGUGAAAACAAAACAUAUGAUCGCUUUUUAAACCUGAGUGAGCUAUCCUGGACAGUCGUUCUCUGGCUCCACAUCAAAAACUACUUUCCCUGGCACAUUGGGUACUCAUUUGCUAUCAAAGCAUCUGCUGGCUGAAUUCUUAGAGAAGAAAUCUUUACUUUUCUAAAUUCCUGCUUUAAAACAAAAUGUGUUUCUACAGUUAACAUUUGCAAUAAUGGUAUAGUUAGGAAUAAAAUAUAUUCCCAUGGCCACCUAAAAUAACCACUGGACAUUCAAAAUAACCAAGAAGUGGGAGAUAUGGAUGUAUGGCAUUUCAAUAUGUAUUUGAGUAUAAAGUCAUCACAGUUUUGUACUUUAGAGAGAAAACAUGGCCAGAAAGGUAAAGUAAAUGCUAUCAUAAUUCUAGAAGAGAACAUAUCAAGUAGGUCUAUAGAUACUAAAAGAUACAAUUACUGAAAUGUAAUUGUAUAUUUUUAUUGAGAAUUAAUAUUUGGAAACAACACCUUUUAGUAUUUUACUAGAUCGUUUUAAUCUCAAAAGUUUCCUGCAAAUCCUCCUUAUAUAAGCAGUAUUGGCUAAGCAUUUUAAGGCAACAUUUUAAAACAUAGACAAACCUGAUACUAUAGAAUUAUUAUCAACCUUUUCUAAUCAAGUAACAUAAAAUAGACACAGUCUGAGUGUCAAUAGUCAUCAGUCAUUAAAGAAGUAAUUAUUUUGAAGGAGAAAAUUACUUCCAGUUGUUAUUUCAAUAACUUACUCAUUAUUAUGAUGGGAAUGUAAGCAGAUUCUCUUUGCAUGUUCUUUUUUUUUAAAUUUAUUUAUUUUACAUCCCAGCUGCAGUUUCCCCUCCCUCCUCUCCUCUCAGUCCCAUCCCCCAUCCCUCUUCAGGGGCCAGGGGGGCCCCCCUGCCCCCUAUCUACUCCUCCUCUGUUUCUGUUUAGGAAGGUGCAGGUCUCCCAAGGAUCUCAACAAAGCAUGGCAUAUCAAGUUGCAGUCAGACUAAACACCUCUUCUUAUGUUAAGACUGGGCAAGGCGACCCAGUAUGAAGAAUAGGGUCCCAAAGGCCUAUAAAAGAGUCAGAGUCUCACCAGAGGACCAAGCUACACAACUAUCACAUAUAUGCAGAGGGCCUAGGUCAGUCCCAUGCAGGCUCCCUGGUUGUCAGUUCAGUCUCUGUGAACCCAAGUUAGUUGAUUCUGUGGGUUUUCUUGUGGUGUCCUUGACCCCUCUGGUUCCUACAAUCCUGUCUCCCUUUCUUCUGCAGGAUUCCCAGAACUCCGCCUAAUGUUUGGCUGUGGGUCUGCAUCUGUCUCCAUCAGUUGAUGGAGGAAGCCUCUCUGAUGACAGUUGGGCUAGGCACUGAUCUAUGAGUAUAACAGAAUAUUGUUAGCCAUCAUUACAUUGACAUUUUCCCCCUCCGGUCGUGUUUGGUUCUAUCCUAGGUCUCUGGGUCAUCCAGCCUGUGUUCUUAGAAAUCAUUUCUAAUGACAGCAUGGUUCUGAACUCCAUUUCUAACUUAAUACGUGAUCUUUUCAACAGACCCCAACGUUUCUAAAGUAUCUCAGUUGUGAGUAUUUCUGUUAUUUCAGCCCAAGGACACGAAGACGCUGAUUGACUAAGUUCAAUAUAAAGCAUUAAGAGUAGGCAUGCUGGGGCUGGAGAGAAAGCUCAGCCGAUAGAGUGCUUAUCAUGAGAGCAUGAGGACCCGAGUUUGAUCCUCAGCAUCCACUUAAAAUCGGAUGAGAUGCUACAGGACAGCAGUCUCACUGCUGUGAAAGCAGAGACACGAGGAGCUCUGGGACGCUCUGGUAAGCCAGCCUGGCUGAAUUAGUGAGCUCCAGGUUCAGCGAGAGAUGCUGUGUCUAAAAAUAAAGUGGAGAGUGGUUGAGGACAGCACCAAGAGUUGACGGCAAGCCCGGUCCCCUCCAUUUUCCGAUGAAAACACCGGCCACGGAAGGGGAGUUACCGCAGAAUCAGAACCAUCAUCCCCACAUGUUUCUUCUAAUACAGCCCAAGGGGUCCAAGCCCUUUGAGGACUGAUUUCACUAAAGAAAUAUACGUCCUACAUAUAUGUCUGCAGACCACUAUCUGGACAUUAAAUACAGAAAGUAACACAAGUCCUGUUCCUUCAAUGCAGAUAAAUGUAUUUUUAAAGAUCCGCCUUUUUAUUAAAGUUUGACGAGAAGGGGUCUCGCUAUGCAGAACAGCUUGCACGGGUUAGUCAGGCUAACUUGGAACCUUCUAUCUACCAUCCCCCACCUCUCAGAUGUGCCACUGCUCUUGGGCACUCAUUUAUUUUCACAGGAUAAGAAACCCAGACUUUGUCACUGCAGUUAUUUGUACCUGUCAAAAAUUCUUAAAAUAUUAUAUGGAAAUCAGUUAUGUUUUUGAAGUGAAUAUGAAAAUGUAGGGAACUAUGACACUGUUGAUUAAAAUAUUGGAUAAUUCAAAAUAUUACAAAUAUUGGAAAGGGAUAAUGAUUUCACCUCAUAAAUUCACAGUAUUAUUGUUAUUCACAUUAUGUAUUCACAUAAUUAAUUGUAGGAGGAGAGGCUGGUCGUGUGGAUGCAAACAGGACUUGUCGGAGACAAGUCCUCCCAGGAAGCACGCAUCUUGCUCUGUUGCUGUGUUUACAGUGCACUGGCAGAAGAGCCCUGGCCGCCAUGCAGAUUUUCUAAGCAGCAGCCAGCCUUGGGUUAGAGGCACAUGAAGACACAUUGACUUCAGUGGAGAGCUUUCCCUUGACAGAAGUGUCAUAGGAACAUACACUUAGGCUUUUAUCUUGAUCCAGUCAGCAGCACACCUGACAUCUUUAUUUUAGUUAACAUAUAAAAAAAAAUCUACGCAUCAGUGGUGUGACACACGAGGUUUUGAUACACGUGCAACCCUCUAAUCAAGGUAAUUUAUCUCCUAAAAUGCUUGUCAUUCCUUUGUGAUGAGAACUGUGGUCAAAUCCAUCUUUUUAACUUUAAAAAAUAUAUAUACACACAUAGCACAUUAUCAUAUCUGCAGCCACUAGGCAAUAGAAUGCCAGAUUCCUUUUCUCCUAUAUGAAUAUAACUUAACAUUUGUUGACCAGUGUCUCCCUAUCAUUCCAUCCCCAGCCUCUGAUAACCACUCUUCUGUUGUCAGAUUCUCUGUGAUCCACUUUUCAAUCCUAUGAAUGACUUAGUACCCACAGUAUUUGUCUUUCUGUGCCCAACUUUCAAAUAACAAUCUCCCAUUCUAUUCAUGUUACUGAAAUGAAACGGAGUUCAUCCUUGUAAUGGCUGAAUAGUAUUCAUCUGCCCAUUUGCUUCCUAUUCUCUCCUUCAGUUGAUGGCUAGAUUGUUUCUAUUUCUUGGCCAUUGUGAAUGAUGCUGCAAUAAACAUAAAUAUAAGGCUGUCUCUUCAA